rnacentral:rRNA from 1 species
UACGUAGGGGGCGAGCGUUGUCCGGAUUUAUUGGGCGUAAAGAGCGUGUAGGCGGCCAGGUAGGUCCGUUGUGAAAACUCGAGGCUCAACCUCGAGACGUCGGCGGAAACCCUCUGGCUAGAGUCCGGAAGAGGAGAGUGGAAUUCCUGGUGUAGCGGUGAAAUGCGCAGAUAUCAGGAGGAACACCAAUGGCGAAGGCAGCACUCUGGGACGUGACUGACGCUGAGACGCGAAAGCGUGGGGAGCAAACAGG